rnacentral:tRNA from 1 species
GGAGAGGGUACAGCUCAGUGGUAGAGCGCGUGCUUAGCAUGUACGAGGUCCUGGGUUCAAUCCCCAGUACCUCCA